GGGGUUGUGGCUCAGUGGCAGAGCACUUGCCUAGCAUGUGUGAGGCACUGGGUUCGAUUCUCAGCACCA
rfam:Ictidomys tridecemlineatus contig036527, whole genome shotgun sequence.